UAAUUUUGAGUUUUGAACUUGAGCCAAAACACUCAAGCUUUCUAAAUUAUAUGUUGGUUAUGUGUCUAUUCAGAAUGACGUAUGAGCAGCAGCCUUUUUAUUUUGGGUAGGCUAUGUCAUGUGCAUUACUUGCCAAAAUUGGGGCUGUCUGGUUAACUCAUAAAUACGUACCAUGGGAUUUUUAUUUUACAAAAUAUAUGUUGGUUAUGUGUCUAUUCAGAAUGACUUAUGAGCAGCAACCUUUUUAUUUUGGGUAGGCUAUGUCAUGUGCAUUACUUGCCAAAAUUGGGGCUGUCUGGUUAACUCAUAAAUACGUACCAUGGGAUUUUUAUUUUACAAACAUCAGUCUUAUAUAUUUUUUUCUUCGGAAGCAGGAGAGAUAAACGUGCAAGUUUCCAGAGCUGUUUCUGAGCUGCAGGGCGAAAUCAAAGCACCGGCAGAGUGGGCGGGGUUUACCCAGUCUAGAAAGAUCUAGAAUCUGUGGGGAAAAAGCGCGAAAGAAGCAGCACUUGAAUUUCUGACUCGUCGUCAGUGACAGACAAGCUCCGUUAAUUCUUAGAUUUACGUUUCGUCUUGUGGUUGUAAAGUUAUUUAUUUUGUUUUCGUCUUUGUGUUGAUGUCUUUAACUUUUUGCCUGAGAGGAAUUCAGCGUUGGUUGUAAGUUAUUUAUUUGUUUCGUUCUUUGUUGUUGUAUAUUCUUUAACUUUUUGCCUGAGAGGAAUUCAGCGAAAACGUUUUCGUGAGAGCUCCGACGGAGACGUUUUCACAGCCUUUAACGUUAAUGUAUUUUUCCCACCCGUGGCCUCUGCUGGAGUUUCCAUCUUGGAAUCGCAGAUCCUUCACUAACUGCUUAUCGGGACUUCCAGAAAAUCAGAGAGACAAUCCUGACUGCAAAAAAAUGGAUGCUGUCGAUCGAGGGGAGGGUCGCAUGGCGGAUCCCACUGCCUUGGACGCUCUCUUCGCCUGUUACUAUGUAUUCAACCUAGAGUAUCAGGUGGAAGCCAGCACAACAUUGGAGUUUGUUCAGAGGUAUUUUUUAUCUUAAAUAGUUUGAUUGCAGUGUAAAAGCAAAUUGACAAUUGAUAAGCUGUUCAAAAUCAUCUUCUCCCUUUAAAAUUAGGGGUGUGAACUGACACUGGUCUCACGGUUCGGUUCGAUUGCGAUUAUCAUGUCAUCGAUUCAGUUCAAUUCGAUAUCAC
rnacentral:lncRNA from 1 species